AUGCUUUGCAAGGACAGCACGCAAGGGGCCGUUUGCACAGGGCUCUUUGCAUGGGGCAGCACGCACAAGGCUGUUGCACGGGGCUGUUGCACAGGACUACUUUGCACAGGGCUCUAUGCACAGGGCCAUCAGUACAGAAUGCUUUGCAAGGGCAGCAUGCACGGGGCUGUUUGCACAUGGGACCGUUUGCACGGGGCCUUUUGCACAAAGCCCUUUGCACAGGACUCUUUGCACAAAGCAGAGCAGUUUGCACAAGAGCUCUUUGCACAGGACCUUUUACACGGGGCUCUUUGCACAUGCAGCACACCCGGUGCAGUAUCUGCAGUUAGUUUGCACAGUGCCGUGUCAUUGCACGUUGCACAUUGCAUGCUGCACGUUGCACAUUGUUGCACGCUGUGUGUUGCAUGCAGUGCAACCCCAACGUUGCAUGUUGCACGUUGCAUGCUGUGUUGCACAACAUGCAAUCCCAACGUUGCACAUUGUUGCACGCAGUGUUGCACGCUGUGCAAUCACACCAUUGCAUGUUGUUGCAUGCUGUGCUGCACGCCAUGCAAUCCCAACAUUGCACAUUGCAAGCAGUGUGUUGCGUGCUGUGCAACCCCAACACUGCAGGUUGCAUGUUGCACGCAGUGCUGCAAGCUGUGCAAUCCCAACAUUGCAGGUUGCACAUUGCACGCUGUGUUGCAUGCUGUGCAAUCACAGCAUUGCAGGUUGUUGCAUGCAGUGCUGCAAGCCGUGGAACCCCAACACUGCAGGCUGCACAUUGGAAGCAGCGUCGCAUGCCAUGCAACCCCAACAUUGCACAUAGCAGGUUGUUGCAUGCACUGUUGCAGUCCAUGCAAUCCCAACAUGGCAGGUUGCACGCAGUGUUGCAUGCCGUGCAACCCCAACGUUGCAGGUUGCACGCUGUGUUGCUAUCACAACGGUGCAUGUUGCAUGCCGUGUGUUGCACACCACGCAACCCCAACGUUGCAGGCUGCUGCACACUGUGUUGCAUGCCGUGCAAUCCCAAUGUUGCAUGCUGCAUGCUGUGUUUUGCACGCUGUGUUUUACACGCUGUGUUUGCAAGCUGUGUUUUACAUGCUGUGUUUUGCACGCUGUGUUUGCACGCUGUGUUUUGCAUGCCAUGUUUUGCACGCUGUGUGUUUGCACACUGUGUUUUGCACGCUGUGUUUUGCACGCUGUGUGUUGCACUCUGUGUUUGCACGCUGUGUUUUGCACGCUCUGUUUUAUCACCCCCUGUCCGUGUUCCUGCAGUUGCACACAAGGUCGUUUCCUGUUGCUCAAGGACUUCCUGCCCGGGAACAUCCCGGCCCCACAAACAACCCCGCCCCAUAG
rnacentral:lncRNA from 1 species